rnacentral:rRNA from 1 species
AAUAGAUACCCAGGUAGUCCACGCCGUAAACGAUGGAUACUAGCUGUUGGAGGUAUCGACCCCUUCAGUAGCGAAGCUAACGCGUUAAGUAUCCCGCCUGUGGAGUACGGUCGCAAGACUAAAACAUAAAGGAAUUGACGGGGACCCGCACAAGCGGUGGAUCGUGUUCUUUAAUUCGAUGAUAAACGAAGAACCUUACCAGGGCUUGACAUCCUUGGAAGCACUGCGAAAGCAGAGUGUGCCUUUUGGAACCAAGUGACAGGUGUUGCAUGGCCGUCGUCAGCUCGUGUCGUGAGAUGUUUGGUUAAGUCCAUCAACGAGCGCAACCCUUGUGAAUAGUUGUAUUUUUCUAUUCAGACUGCCCCGGCAACGGGGAGGAAGGAGGGGAUGAUGUCAGGUCAGUAUUACCCUUACGUCCUGGGCUAGGAACACGAUACAAUGGCUAGUACAAUGCGCAGCGAAGCCGCGAGGUGGAGCAAAAUCGCAUCAAAAGCUAAGUCCCAGUUCGGAUAAGAGGCUGAAAACUCGCCUCUUUG